AGGAUGAAGGCCUUCGGGUUGUAAACUGCUUUUGUACGGAACGAAACGGUUCGCCUUAAUACGGUGGGCUAAUGACGGUACCGUAAGAAUAAGCACCGGCUAACUACGUGCCAGCAGCCGCGGUAAUACGUAGGGUGCGAGCGUUAAUCGGAAUUACUGGGGGUAAAGCGUGUUUAGGCGGUUAUGUAAGACAGAUGUGAAAUCCCCGGGCUCAACCUGGGACCUGCAUUUGUGACUGUAUAGCUAGAGUACGGUAGAGGGGGAUGGAAUUCCGCGUGUAGCAGUGAAAUGCGUAGAUAUGCGGAGGAACACCGAUGGCGAAGGCAAUCCCCUGGACCUGUACUGACGCUCAUGCACGAAAGCGUGGGGAGCAAACAGGAUUAGAUACCCUGGUAGA
rnacentral:rRNA from 1 species